UAUUAGUGGUUCAGUGGCUGCACUUUAUUACUGUGCUAAUUUUUGAUGAUUGGACUCAAAAUUUCAGCUAGAGCCUGAGGGUAUCAGACAGUGAAAUGUACUGUAACUAAAUAGGAUGUGGAUCGGGCGAUUGUCAACUGUUCUGCUGGGAGCUCAUCCUAGCCUCUUGCGCUUCAGGCAGAUGAGAGCAGAGCAGUCUACCUGCGCAUCAGGUGCUGCCGGGCCUUCUUCCUGUUCCUGUGGACAUUUUAUGCAGCCUUUGUUAUAAGUUUCCCGAAGACUAUGCUCUUUACGUUGAAGGACUAUUACUUUAAUUAUACCUCAUUUAGCUAAUAUUCUAAUAACCAGUAGGAAACAAUGAGCCGGCCUCUAAGCACCCAACAAAUUCAGGCUGUGUGUUUUGUCUCGUCUGGUUUUGAACUGGAGGAAGAGAGAGAUACUUUCAAAUAAAGCAUGAUGUCCAUACCCAGUAGCAGACCAAAAUAUGACUUUCCUGUCCCUCCAUUAAAGAAUUCAGUUGUGCAACAUACAUGGGUUGUUCUGCGGUUUACGAGUAAGAAAUUGUAAUUGUGUUUUUCAGGCUCCAAUGCUGAGAAUCUGUAUUGUGGUGUAUAAAGUGUCUUCCUAAGAGCAGUAAAAGGACAAAUUAAGCAGACUUUCUUUUCAAGCUUAUGACUUAGAUUCUUUUAGAAAUAUAGUUCUUAAUCUUUAAAGAUGAGAUUCUAAGCCUAGAAUUUUAAACCACAUUUCAUUAUGGUGGCUUACUGAUCUCAAAUUUUCUACAAUUUGGUUUUUUUAGACUUAAAAACAGCUAAACAAAACCUUCCUUUAUCUUUCUCAUCACAUCCAGUGGCAGAGGGGACUGUCUGAGAGUAAAGUCCCAUGAUUCAGAAGGACAUAGCAGGUCAGGAUGUACCAAUAAAAGUUAUGAAUGUGAUGUUCAUUAGAAAGAAACUGAACAACUGAGUACAGAAAUGAAUAUCAGCAAGAAUUUGUUUUAAGGAUUUUCCAGAUUUUACUUUGUAUCUUGAAGUGUGUGCCAUAUGCCAAGAACUAACAGAACUUCCUGUUCCAUCUCUGUACCUUCUUCUUUUUUAAAAGUGAACUUAUGGUCGUUCAUUCCUGUGGCCUUAUGGAUGGGUUGUCUUGACUGUUUGCAACUGAUGCUGCAGUUCCUUUAAUGCAAAAACGCCAUGAAUUGUCUGACUGAAGUCAUGCCCCACCAUGGGAACUAUGGAGUUUCUUCAUAGACUUCUCCUUGUGUGCUUAAGCGUAUUUUGUUUUGCUUCAGUGGCUCACUGUGGAAAGCUUCUGUGGAUAGUAUGGGCCUGCCAUGUGGCUGGUCUGUUGAAGCCAGUUCAUUAACUGGACUGAUACUGAUGUUGUGUUUUUUAAAAAUGAAUUUUAUUCCAGGUGAACUUUUUUUUACAAUACUGUUCAUCUAAAAUAAAAACUACAUGAUGAAAAAUGCUUAUGAC
rnacentral:lncRNA from 1 species